rnacentral:rRNA from 1 species
GACGAACGCUGGCGGCGUGCUUAACACAUGCAAGUCGAACGGAAAGGCCCUGCUUGCAGGGUACUCGAGUGGCGAACGGGUGAGUAACACGUGGGUGAUCUGCCCUGCACUUCGGGAUAAGCCUGGGAAACUGGGUCUAAUACCGGAUAGGAGCCAUUUUUAGUGUGAUGGUUGGAAAGUUUUUUCGGUGUAGGAUGAGCUCGCGGCCUAUCAGCUUGUUGGUGGGGUAAUGGCCUACCAAGGCGGCGACGGGUAGCCGGCCUGAGAGGGGGGACGGCCACAUUGGGACUGAGAUACGGCCCAGACUCCUACGGGAGACAGCAGUGGGGAAUAUUGCACAAUGGGCGCAAGCCUGAUGCAGCGACGCCGCGUGGGGGAUGACGGCCUUCGGGUUGUAAACUCCUUUCGCUAGGGACGAAGCUUUGUGUGACGGUAUCUAGAUAAGAAGCACCGGCUAACUACGUG